CCCUUAGAUGUUCGGAGCUGCACGCGCGCUACACUGAAGGAAGCAGCGUGUUAGAGCACCUGGCUUGAAAGAGCUGGGUAAUCCGGUGAAUGUCCUUCGUGAUUGGGAUAGGGACUUGUAAUUAUUUCCCUUGAACGAGGAAUACCUAGUAAGUGCGAGUCAUCAGCUUGCGCUGACUUACGUCCCUGCCCCUUGUACACACCGCCCGUCGCUACUACUGAUUGGAUGUUUAAGCGAGGUUCUCGAACUGCUAGCGACUUAGCUUCGGUGAGGUCGCAGUGUGGGAAGUGAACCUAGCUUUGGUGUCUAGAGGAAGUAAAAGUCGUAACA
rnacentral:rRNA from 1 species